rnacentral:rRNA from 1 species
GAACCUGCGGAGGGAUCAUUACACAACAAAAAUAUGAGGGUGUGGUUUGCUGGCAACAGCGUCCGCCCCAAGUAUUUUUCACCCAUGUCUUUUGCGCACUUUUUGUUUCCUGGGCGAGUUCGCUCGCCACCAGGACCCAACCAUAAACCUUUUUUUAUGCAGUUGCAAUCAGCGUCAGUAUAAUAAUUCAAUUUAUUAAAACUUUCAACAACGGAUCUCUUGGUUCUGGCAUCGAUGAAGAACGCAGCGAAAUGCGAUACGUAGUGUGAAUUGCAGAAUUCAGUGAAUCAUCGAAUCUUUGAACGCACAUUGCGCCCUUUGGUAUUCCAAAGGGCAUGCCUGUUCGAGCGUCAUUUGUACCCUCAAGCUUUGCUUGGUGUUGGGCGUCUUUUUGUCUCUCCCCUUGUUGGGGGAGACUCGCCUUAAAACGAUUGGCAGCCGACCUACUGGUUUUCGGAGCGCAGCACAAAUUUGCGCCUUCCAAUCCACGGGGCGGCAUCCAGCAAGCCUUUGUUUUCUAUAACAAAUCCACAUUUUGACCUCGGAUCAGGUAGGGAUACCCGCUGAACUUAAGCAUAUCAAUAAGCGGAGGAA